rnacentral:rRNA from 1 species
UACGUAGGGUGCGGGCGUUGUCCGGAAUUAUUGGGCGUAAAGAGCUCGUAGGCGGUCUGUCGCGUCGAAUGUGAAAACCCGGGGCUCAACUCCGGGCUUGCAUUCGAUACGGGCAGACUAGAGUUCGGUAGGGGAGUCUGGAAUUCCUGGUGUAGCGGUGAAAUGCGCAGAUAUCAGGAGGAACACCGGUGGCGAAGGCGGGACUCUGGGCCGAUACUGACGCUGAGGAGCGAAAGCGUGGGGAGCGAACAGG